rnacentral:sRNA from 1 species
AACCUAAACCAAACAAUGUUUGGCAUGGUUUACUGAAUUCAUGGAUAAAUAAAAGCUCGUCAUGAGUCGCUAUUUCUCUAUAGUCGGUACUGGAAACGGUAUCGGGUAGCUUCGGCUAUC